rnacentral:lncRNA from 1 species
GCUGUGGAACGGGCAAUGCUACAUCGGGUUCUGGUGGGUUUGGGCAGAACAAAUCUCGCCAGGUAUGGUAGUGGCUGUUGAGUUUGGAAGGUUUUGUUUGGUAUAAACAAGAUUUUGGUGAGGUUUUGUUGUUUGCGGCCAAUGUUUGGUUGACCUCUUUGGCAGCAACGUAAUCGUAUCUAGUUAGCAGAUGACCUUUCCAAUCGUAGUAGUAAUGUUCACUCACUCCGCAAAUAUUGUUGCUGUCACGUCCCAGCAUCUUUGUUUGCCUGGUACAAAAGCCGAUGACAUUUAGAGAAUUAGAUGGUCCAUGAACCAUGAUCGUUAUCGGUUUACUCCCACCAAUGGCGGAGCCAGAAAAUUAGGAUAAGGAAGGCCAAGUAUAGUUUAAUCUUGUUAGGGAGGACCAAUCCAUCAAAAAACACCAUUUUAGCACACAAAAAAUAACUAUUACUAUUCAUUCUA